rnacentral:rRNA from 1 species
CCCUUAGAUGUUCUGGACCGCACGCGCGCUACAAUGAUGAAUUCAACGAGUUUAUAACCUUGGUUGAAAAGCCUGGGUAAUCUUUUGAACUUUCGUCGUGAUGGGGCUAGACCCUUGCAAUUAUUGGUCUCCAACGAGGAAUUCCUAGUAAACGCAAGUCAUCAGCUUGCAUUGAUUACGUCCCUGCCCUUUGUACACACCGCCCGUCGCACCUACCGAUUGAAUGGUCCGGUGAAAUCUUCGGAUUGAGACUUUGAUUUCUUCACGGAAAACGCUGUUUUAAGAAGUUGAUUAAACCUUACCAUUUAGAGGAAGGUGAAGUCGUAACA